CACGAAGUCACCAGGGCCCAGGUUAGAGUGUUGUGUUAGUGUGUCGUACAGGGUUAUAGAACCCUCGAGUUAAUGUAGCACCGAUAUACGGUGUUACGAGUAAGAUCGAGUCAUUGGUAGUUACUAUCUUAUUGUUGUUGUGGUUGUGGUUGUUGAUUGUUUUGUUUGCAGGUUCUGACAUUAAGUCCUAAGUCUGGUUUAGGUACCGGACUAGGCUUGGUGUGUAUUUGGUUAGUGUAGGCCUGACGUUGGCCUAUAUGUGUUUGAAGGAUUGCUUGUGAAGGGUGGUGGAUAUUAAAGCUAUGUGGUAUCAUUGGUUGGCCGAUCAUGUUCUUGUUUGAUUGUUGGUCGACCGGCUCAUGAUACUUGUAUAGUCUAAGUAUCUAACACUACAUGAGUACUGAACUCAAGCGUAUAUAUGGUUAACU
rnacentral:lncRNA from 1 species